AGCUGUUUUGGGACUACAAUUCCCAUCUACCCUGACCACUGGUCUUGCUAGCUAGGGGUGAUGGGAGUUGUAGUCCAAAAGCAGCU